UGAGACUUUGAUUUGCUGUUUAUUCAAUGCUGUCGAACUUCCCCAAAGAAUGAUCUGACAAAUCUAACAUUGUGGAAAGAAUUCAGCGUUGCUAACAGAAACGUUCCUGAAUUCCUGACUGCCCAACAGAAUGAUCUCCCCAUCUUCAUUUCAGUUCUGGGGGGUUUUCAUGACCUGCCCUCUGAGUCAACAUGAGUGGGGAGCACAGUAGGAGGAAUGGAGAGAAAGUUGUCUUGUGCUGGCAGGAGUCCUUGCUCUGGUUCCCAGUGUGGGCUGUGGACUCUAGCUUCAGUCCCACACCCAUGUGCCCCCAUCUCUCAGGCUUGGCUAUAGUGUGUCUGUCUGUGGCAAGGAAGCCUUUGUGCCUUCACCUCUUUGCAUGGAGUCUUCUCCAGAUUCUGGAACCCUGUGUGAUCUGGAACUCUAACCAUUUUGGAUACCGUGCAUUAUUUUACACGCUCGUUCUGAUCCAUUCUGCUUCUGGCAGAGCUUGUGAGAGUUCCAUCUCAGGUUUUUUGUUUUAAAUCAAACCCGUAUUUUGAAAUAGCAACCUCAUCUAUGUAACCUGCAUGAAAUCUAUCUGCUUUGUCGAUAUAUAAAAUCUGCAGGUCUGUCCCAGUUCAGGUUUGAGAGAGGCUUGCAAAUAAUGGUUCAGGUUUUGUUGCAGUUCAAGAAAAUAAAAGUUCAUUCUGUGCUUUAGCUCAUGUUUGAUUUGACACUCCCUCAUCCCCAAGCUUACUAGUAAAGCAAAGGGCUUCCUGGAAAAGAGGUGAGAAGAAAUGUGGAAGAAGAUCAAGAUAUGUCAGUCUGAAGGCAGCAGUGAGCAUAUUAUUAUUUAUUUAUUAUUAUUUAUUGAAUUUAUAUACGGCCCUAUACCCAUAGCUGUCAACGUUUCCCUUUUUUAAAGGGAAAUUCCCUUAUUCCGAAUAGGAUUCCUCGCAAGAAAAGGAAAAAGUUGACAGCUAUGCCUAUACCCGGAGGUCUCAGGGCAGCAAUGACUGUUAUUUAAGAGAACAGGAUUCUUUCUGGUCAAUGCGGUGGACCAAUGUGUGUGUGUGAUGGGGUUGGGAGAAGCUAACAAAUAUAUAAAAUAAUAAUAAUAAUAAUAAUAAUAAUAAUAAUAAUAAUAAUAAAUUUUAUUUGUAUCCCGCCCUCCCCAGCCGAAGCUGGGCUCAGGGCGGCUAACAACAAUCAAUAAUCCAACAUUCUAAAAAAAAAUUCAUUAUAAAAAUUAAUUAAAAUCAAAUUGAUGGCAACCGAUAAGCAAAAUUCUGUGCAGAUUGCCAGAGGAGGGAGUCAGGCUGCGCCCUGACCAAAGGCCUGGUGGAACAGCUCUGUCUUGCAGGCCCUGAGGAAAGAUGUCAGGUCCCGCAGGGCCCUAGUCUCUUGUGACAGAGAGUUCCACCAGAUUGGAGCCGCAGCCGAGAAAGCCCUGGCUCUAGUUGAGGCCAGCCUAACCUCUCUGUGGCCUGGGACCUUCAGGAUGUUUUUAUUUGCAGACCGUAAGUUCCUCUGUGGGACAUACCAAGAGAGGCGGUCCCGUAGAUAAACUGCAGAAGAAAUAUUGAACACAACUUAUUAGGCCUUUUUUGUGAGCAAAGCAUUUAAUAUCCCCCCCCCCCCAGAAAUAUAGUUUAAAUUAGCGAUUAUAAAAGCAAACCCUAUCUCAAAGUACUGUCUCCCCAGAAGAAAAAAAUAGCCUUAAAUUGUUCUGCAGAGAGUGAACAGAUGUUUUUGUUCUUUUAGAAAAAGAUAAUAAAGAACAGAUGUCUUGCAAUUACUGUAUAAGCCAAGUGUCAUUGUUGUUUUUUUAUUUCUCCUGUUCCUUCAGGGAAGGCAACUUGGAGAAGGCCACCUAUCAAGUUUAAUGUAUCAAGAGAAACAGCAGUUUGAGAAAUCCCCAGGAGGACUUCUCAGCAGCCUAGCCCAAUUACAUCAGUGCAAUUCAAGAUGAUACUGACUCGAAUGGUUUUCAGUAUUAUGUUUAUAUUAAAGAUUUUAAUUGGAAACCAGCGGCUGGUUUUGAAACAUGGUGACCAGGCUUCCCUUACAUCAGCCUCAGUGUGGAUGCAACUUCCUUUUCAAAACAGACUUUAGGUAAGGCAAUUGGUAAUAGAAGAACAGUCCCACCGUUUUAAGCCUAAGAAUAACAUAGCUAAAGUGCUUGUUAGAGUGGCACCCAUGGGUGCCAGUUUACCUGCCAAUACCCCUUACAGGGAGACUCUUGAGAGUCCCAUGGACUGCAAGAAGAUCAAUCCUAUCCAUUCUGAAGGAAACCAGCCCUGAGUGCUCACUGGAAGGACAGAUCGUGAAGCUGAGGCUCCAGUACUUUGGCCACCUCAUGAGAAGAGAAGACUCCAUGGAAAAGACCCUGACGCUGGAAAAGAUGGAGGGCACAAGGAGAAGGGGACGACAGAGGACGAGAUGGUUGGACAGUGUUCUCGAAGCUACCAGCAUGAGUUUGACCAAACUGCGGGAGGCAGUGGAAGACAGGAGUGCCUGGCGUGCUCUGGUCCAUGGGGUCAUGAAGAGUCGGACACGACUAAACAACUAAACAACAAUAACCUCUUACGGUGCCCAGGAAAUGUCUCAGUAAACAUCCCUUUUAAAAAUCCUAUGUGCACCAGAGACUGUUUGCUUUUCCUGCUUAGCUCCUGUUUACAUCAGCUCAGCCUCUUCUGCACUGAACACACACCUUAAACGCGCCCACAUUUCACUGGAUGCCAGGACUGGAUGCCCACCCUCCCAGCCAUUCUGAAUAUAGGAGAGGUGCAAAGAGCUUUUCUCUGUGAGUGUCAGGGAUCAUGCUGAGGAGGAAUGGUGGGAGUCUCUGCCUCCCCCUACUCCUGAAUCUUCCCAGGAGCAGGAGGACAGUAUAGAUUUGGUACAGUGGUUUCCAGAGGGGCAUAGUUCAGAAGGCAGAAGCUGGGAAAUACUGGAUGGGGAGCAGCUAGGAGAAGAAAAACUGGGAGAGAGAGUAAACAGAUUCACAGUCUCUGAGCAUUCCUCCGCUCAGCCCAAGGUCAAGAAGAGCUCAGAAAGUGUCAGCACAGAAAGCACAGAGGGUACAAGCUCAGAUUACAAGACAUAGUACUGACGUAGAUUAAUAAGGAUGGAAGGGGGUGUAAUCCUUAAUUGGGAGCACCUCCAUUUCUAGGAGAUGUAUUCUUUGUUCUCUCACUGUGAUUAUUAAAGUUUCCUAACUGGUAAGACGUUCCUUUCGUUUGAUCUUCUUAUUUACUGCCACGGGGGGGGGGGGGUGGGGAAGCAAAUUCUCCAAAGCCUGACAGUGAGCAACUCUGGUGGUGACUGACAUUGGUGCCCUUUUCCUCACUGAUGGGGUGGGGGCACUUUGUGGUCCUG